UGGGGAAUUUUGCGCAAUGGGCGAAAGCCUGACGCAGCAACGCCGCGUGCGGGAAGAAGGCCCUCGGGUUGUAAACCGCUUUCGGCAGGAACGAAAUUGACGGUACCUGCAGAAGAAGCCCCGGCCAACUACGUGCCAGCAGCCGCGGUAAUACGUAGGGGGCGAGCGUUGUCCGGAUUCAUUGGGCGUAAAGAGCUCGUAGGCGGUUCGGUAAGUCAGAUGUGAAAACUCCAGGCUCAACUUGGAGACGCCAUCUGAUACUGCCGUGACUAGAGUCCGGUAGGGGAGCACGGAAUUCCUGGUGUAGCGGUGAAAUGCGCAGAUAUCAGGAGGAACACCAGCGGCGAAGGCGGUGCUCUGGGCCGGAACUGACGCUGAGGAGCGAAAGCGUGGGUAGCGAACAGG
rnacentral:rRNA from 1 species